rnacentral:rRNA from 1 species
UACGAGGGGUCCUAGCGUUGUUCGGAAUCAUUGGGCGUAAAGGGUGUGUAGGUGGCUAUGUAAGUCAGGUGUGAAAGCCCCGGGCUCAACCCGGAAGUGCAUCUGAUACUGCGUAGCUUGAGUACCGAAGAGGAUAGUGGAAUUCCAGGUGUAGUGGUGAAAUACGUAGAUAUCUGGAGGAACACCGGUGGCGAAGGCGGCUAUCUGGUCGAGUACUGACACUGAGACACGAAAGCAUGGGGAUCAAACAGG